rnacentral:rRNA from 1 species
AUUGAACGCUGGCGGCAGGCUUAACACAUGCAAGUCGAGCGGGGGAGGUUACUUCGGUAACUGACCUAGCGGCGGACGGGUGAGUAAUGCUUAGGAAUCUGCCUAUUAGUGGGGGACAACAUUCCGAAAGGAAUGCUAAUACCGCAUACGCCCUACGGGGGAAAGCAGGGGAUCUUCGGACCUUGCGCUAAUAGAUGAGCCUAAGUCGGAUUAGCUAGUUGGUGGGGGAAAGGCCUACCAAGGCGACGAUCGGUAGCGGGUCUGAGAGGAUGAUCCGCCACACUGGGACUGAGACACGGCCCAGACUCCUACGGGAGGCAGCAGUGGGGAAUAUUGGACAAUGGGCGGAAGCCUGAUCCAGCCAUGCCGCGUGCGUGAAGAAGGCCUUUUGGUUGUAAAGCACUUUAAGCGAGGAGGAGGCUCCUUUAGUUAAUACCUAAAGAGUGUGGACGUUACUCGCAGAAUAAGCACCGGCUAACUCUGUGCCAGCCGCCGCCGUAAAAC